UACAGAGGGGGCAAGCGUUAUUCGGAGUUAUUGGGCGUAAAGGGCGCGUAGGCGGCCAGGCAAGUGGAAGGUGAAAUCCCUCGGCUCAACCGAGGAACUGCCCUACAAACUGCCGGGCUCGAGUCCGGGAGAGGUGAGUGGAAUUCCCAGUGUAGCGGUGAAAUGCGUAGAGAUUGGGAGGAACACCAGUGGCGAAGGCGGCUCACUGGACCGGAACUGACGCUGAGGCGCGAAAGCGUGGGGAGCAAACGGG
rnacentral:rRNA from 1 species